UUGUCCAUGACGGGUGGGCCUCAAAUUUCUACGGGCGCAGUGUAUUGGUGCAUCCCGUGUGCGUCCUGGGUGAGAAAGUGAGAGUCGUGGGGCUGGGUCGUAGUGUGCAGUGAAAACCUAGCCCCAAUCCCGUUCGUCUCUGAGCAGCCAAUCCCUCCGCUUCUCGAGCCCCGCUCCCCUCCUCCCCUCGUCUCCACUGUGCCGCCUCCUCCCUUCACUUUUCUCCUCCUGUGCUCUCGCCCGGGCCAAGCCCAGCGACCUCCUGGCCAGCGUCUACUCCAUCUUGUUCUUCUCCGGCUGAACAGCGGCAAGCCCGCGGAUCUGGCGUCCCGAGGAGCAGCCGCCCGAUGCGGGAGGAGGUGGCGCCCAGGGAGAGGGGUGGCGGCGGCCCCUCUGCCUGCCAUCGAGUUGGCGUCUCGGGAGUGGAAGAAACGAGGAGCAGCCACCCGAUGGGGGAGGAGGUGGCGCCCAAGGAGAGGGGUGGCGGCGGCCCCUCUACCUGCCAUCGAGCUCUGGGAGAAACAUGGCAGAAGCAGGGAGCAUGGGAUUGGGGCUGUACAAACGACGCCGGUCGACGGUGGUGCUUGCUAGAGGAGAAGAUUAAUGGUCCAAAACGGUCAUUUCAUGAUUUACGAGCUUGCGGAGAGGGCAUUGGAUGAAUCCAUCAGUUCGAAGCUUAACUAAUAUAUUUCCUAGGGCUCGUGCAUGGCAUUGAGGAGCAUGGCAGGUGUUCAGGUCAACCUCUUCCAUAGUAGUAACAGGGGUGUCGGUGGUGACAAGGGAGGUGACAGGCAACCAAUAGAGCAAUGACAUUAACCGAGAUAGGUCUCUAAUCCUUUCUUUACUACUCGAUUCACUUCGCUCCUGCAUUGAUCUGUCAUGUUUUCCCAGGUCUAUCAUUGUGGUUGCAGAGUGGAACAGAGCAGUUGGGAAGCGGACAUGAGGAUUGAUGUGCAUAUCCAUUAGUACUUGCUCAAGUUAAAUAUCUAAAUUGUCAACAUGUUCAUGGUAGAGGGGAAGAUGCCGCCUGAAUCCUUUAAUUUGUAAGUACCCCCUGCUGCUUCUGUUUGAGUGUGCUUCAAAUUUGGAAGAUUCACAAAAUGUGGCCAGCUUGCUCUGGCGCUUUAAGAUUGGAAGAUGCAAAAAGGUGAAGUAAUUUAUUCAGUUGUUCUACUAUUACAAUAUUGCAUAAGUGAUGCAAAGUAAAUAAAUUAGUACACAUGGCAGGUCAUCUUUAUCUCAAUAUUCACAGAGUCUAAACACCAAUCUUGUCCUUUGUUUUUUGUGGUAUGUAUAGUGGUUUGCUUCCUAUAUAUUUUGUUUUCAUCCUGCCUUGUAUAAUUGUUGUUUCCCUUUAGGUUUGUCCUUUCUAUUGUCUGCUUGUGGUGCCUAUGUCCAAUUUGUUUGUCUUUCCUGUUGUAUCUUAUGCUAGAUUAGCUUGUUUAUGACCAUGCAUUCUCACUUCUGUUAAUGAAAGAAGAUGGUAUUGCAAGCAUCAUUCUGUGCAAGAAAAGGUUAUGUGCGUUGUGAUUCAGUUCCUUAUCAUGCCAAUCUAUCUUCUCGGGGUCCUUAUUUUCUUCUGUGUUCCAGGUUUUGUUGCUGUUCUGCCGGCCCGCCGCCUCGUGUGCUACCUUUCUUCCUGCCAAGCUUAUUUUGUGCCUGGAUUCUGGAAACGGCCAAGGACAAGCAACACAAGCGAAAGAUUGCUUCACUUAAUCUGGCGCUAUUAUUCUUCUGAAACAUGCUAACGAAAGAUUGGUACUCUUGGAUGAGAGAAAUCGGCAAAAAAGUUUGAGCCUCCUCUUAGAAGGUUCAAAACGGGACGCGGGCAACAUAGCUCUAGGAAAGUUGGUGCGGACGGCUCCGAAGUGGAGCCUAGAAGUGGCGAAUUUUCUUAAUACUGCUACAUUAAUCACCUUGAAAGUGGCAACAGUGACAACCUAAAGGAAGCUGAUACAACCGAAAGUGAUGUGCCGGUGGAUGAUAUGGACGAAUACAACGAGAAUAUUGCCAAGGCUAUUAUUGCAUCAAGGGCAAGACUUAUUACCGAUGCUGAGCGCAAAGUUGAAUAUAUGCUCAUGGAAUUAUGGGUGCCUCCUCCAAUGCUACCCAUGUGCAUCAUUUCCCUUAAUUCCAUCAUUAGGAUUAAGACUAUUGAGCAUGUGUUUACUUCUCAUUUUGUGGAUUAUGGGCGCAAAAUGAAGUGUGAUCCAUUUAUCAAGGAUGACUCUACUUGAUGUCGCCGCAUACCAGCAGAAGAUAAAGCUCAGCCAUAGGCUGGAAGACUGGGGCUAUAUAGAUUGCUUUCUAAAACCAAUGCAGAUCACCCUGCUGAAGAAGGAGAGGAAGUUAGAAAUCAGUUUUCAGUUUUACAGGUGCAAACUCAACUCAUUCCACUGUAAUACUGGACAUCCAGAUGUCCAGGAUGUCGGAAGCAUCGGCGUUGCAUUCAUGAAUCUGACAUACACAUGUAAGAAAUAUUCUCCCUCUUACAGCCUUUCCAAACAUUGGAAAUCACUAGACCGACCAUGAGGUUGAGAAUUCAGAUGAUGGCCUCUCAUGUAGAACUCAAUGCACAUGCAGUCAGAUACUACGGAUAAAGUUGAGUUGUAUGCUAGGAGUUGUGCUUUUAUCAAGUUUACUUAUUUACUUAUGAUCUAAUCAUCUCUCUAGAAAGAGUAUCUUCUGAAGAAGCUAUCGACCAUGAGGAUUUCUCUUUUUCGCCUUUGUAUUGGAAAGAUAGAGAUGGAAACCUAAAAAAACCAUAGUAUUAGCUUUUUUAUCCAAUGGAAAUUCAUACCGCGUGAGCCCUGAGGUUGAGAAUGGGAAAAUGACUGAACUUGUUCACAACACUAGCAGUAAUCUUGACCUUUAUUUAACUGGUUUUGUAUUCUCGACCUGUUUGCAUAUUUUUAUAGAUGAAUUAGUCCCAGGUUCACUUGCUACAUGGCUCGAGCAUGCUACUCCUAACCUACGUGAUUGUUGGUCUCACUUUAUUGAUGGAUGGGGGAGGUUGAGAAUUUUCUUGUGUUUGUUUGUAUUUUCUUUCCAGAUAAUCUGCAUGGUGCUACUUAAAAUUUAUGAAUGGUUUGUCGGUAUGUUACUGGGAUUUAGAGGCAGAAACGUCUUACUCCUGACUACAUGGAGUUCUCAAUAAAUUAUUCUUGUCAUUUUUUUCGAGGUGAUGUUCGCUCCGGUUCCUCCUCUACCCAGCAGUAUGGGUAACUCAAAGCAUAGAUCUGAUUGUGCUUCUUGCAGUCUAUGCUUCCUAUCUCCGGGUCAUCCGCCUCUCAAAGACUACUCCGAGGAGAAUCGAAAUAACAGUCAGUCGUGGAUGGAUUAGAAUGGAAUAUUUAUUACCUUGGUGAUAACGUCAGGCGGGCGUUGAAUCGUGGACAUGUCCCCCAUGGAUCUGGGCGGCUGGGCGAACAGAUGGACCGAGCUCCCUCCUCCGCCCAAGAAGCAGCCGAGCUCCCUCCUCUGCCCAAGAAGCAGCCGACCUCCCUCCUCCGCCCAAGAAGCAGCUGAGCUCCCUCCUCCGCCCAAGAAGCAGCCGGGGAAGCUGCAUCGACGGCAGGAACAACAUGGCGGAUCCAAAUCGCCAGUCUCCUCUGUCCAGAGCUGAACUGAGUGGCUGCCCCCAUGAGAGGACACGGGCACAACCAAACCCACACACACCAGACACGCGUGCAUGGUGGCUUAUCCGGUGGGAGACUACCGCUUGCUCCCGCUGAACCAUUAUGUCCCACAACGCUUGCACCUGUCCACCCGUGAACGUUGUGUCCAACUGCCGCUUGCACCUGCCCACCCGUGAACUGCCGCUUGCACCCGUGAAUGUUGUGGCCCACCCGGAAAAUGCAUAUCUGAGCGCUCGGAGGUGCCAGCCAUCUACUCCAAGGGGAGAAAAAAAACUCUACUCCCAAGGAGUUUUUCUUUUCUUUCUAAAGGGUCUAUUAUUCUCAGGUACUCUCUCCGCUUCAUAAUAUAAAAUACUUUUUGACACUA